UCAGAUUGAACGCUGGCGGCGAUGCUUACACAUGCAAGUCGAACGGCAGCACGGGAGCAAUCCUGGUGGCGGAGNGGCGAACGGGUGAGUAAUAUAUCGGAACGUGCCCAGUCGUGGGGGAUAACGUAGCGAAAGUUACGCUAAUACCGCAUACGAUCUAAGGAUGAAAGCGGGGGACUCGCAAGAGCCUCGCGCGAUUGGAGCGGCCGAUAUCAGAUUAGGUAGUUGGUGGGGUAAAGGCUCACCAAGCCAACGAUCUGUAGCUGGUCUGAGAGGACGACCAGCCACACUGGAACUGAGACACGGUCCAGACUCCUACGGGAGGCAGCAGUGGGGAAUUUUGGACAAUGGACGCAAGUCUGAUCCAGCCAUUCCGCGUGCAGGAUGAAGGCCUUCGGGUUGUAAACUGCUUUUGUACGGAACGAAAAGGUCUCUAUUAAUACUAGGGGCUCAUGACGGUACCGUAAGAAUAAGCACCGGCUAACUACGUG
rnacentral:rRNA from 1 species